rnacentral:misc_RNA from 1 species
GCAAACUUGGUCAUUUAGAGGAAGUAAAAGUCGUAACAAGGUCUCCGUAGGUGAACCUGCGGAGGGAUCAUUUCUGAAUCGAGGCCGGGCACGGCCUUUGGACGUGCGGUCGAAAGGCCGCUCGUCAAUGGCUUCCCGGCCUUGCCUCCUUUCAAACGUGUGGGCCGAGAUGUGGAUUGGCGACCUCCCAAAAGGGGGCGCCUCUUCAAUGCAGUCAAGCCUUUGUGUCUGAGUUUAAGUUAACAACUUUAAAACUUUCAACAACGGAUCUCUUGGCUCUUGCAUCGAUGAAGAACGCAGC